rnacentral:lncRNA from 1 species
GAGAGACUCCACCGCCUGGCCGGUCUGUCUUUCCUAAAAAGAACAGAGCCAUCCACGACAGCACUCCAGUCGUGCGAGCUGCCCUGCCAGGUCUCCACGAUGGGAACCUAAAUCGUGCUCCUGCAGUUACACGGGAAGGAAGAGGCGGGAAAAAAAAAACCACGGUCCCAACCUGCUCGCUCCCACCGCUGGAAACGGGAUGGGUGAGAGCACCCGCAAAACACUCCGCAGUGGCCGAGGCCACCCGGGAUCGUGCUCGGUCUCGGGCGGAGGCCCCGUGCCGGUCCUACUAAAAAGCCACACGGGAGCCCAGCGGCGGCGCCGUGCCGAUCCCAAAGACAGAGGCAGUCGAGCAGCAACCCUACAGGAGCCCCAACACGAGAGAUCUUACCGAGCGACUCUCAAACACUCACCGCUUCCACGAGCUCACUGCUUCGGGCCGAUGAGAGCCUCUGCUGCAGCCCUCGCUCAGCCUGCAACACGAGAAACCUUUUGUUUCAACAACCCUUCGCUUCGCUUCCCUCUCCCGGCAGCACAGAGGCUGCACGAAUACGGCCCCAUCGCGUUCGCUCCUACCGAGGAGAGCCUGAAGAACUGAAGCACCCGCUGAAAGAAAUCCCGAGGAUGGGGGGGGCUGAGAGCACCCCGGGGCUGCGCGAGAACUCGGGGGUCUGAGCGGCAGCCGCCUCCAAGAAUGCGACGGCGGCCGGGCGACGGCGGCGAUGCCGUAUCGGCUCCGCACAGCCGGGGGAGCCCGGCGGCGACCUAACGCCGGCCCGAGAAGAGCGGGGUCCGACAGCCGCCUGCUCCGGAGAUCCUGGCGGCUCCCGAGCGCUCACCGUCCCCUUACUACUCGAACCGCUCACCUGUUUGGGCUGGUCCUUACCGCGAAAGGUCUCACAGCAGCCUGAAACAAAACGACACCACGAGAACAUUAAAGAGAACCUCAAGGCUCCGUCCCCCCCCAAAAAACCCCGCGUACCGCUUCUCAGCCUCAGCAGCGUCAGGGCCCGACAAAGAAACAGAACUCACUCCGUCUCCUAUCCACAACCGCAGAAACUCCUCCGUGGCUCCCGGCAGCCUCCGGAGGAGCUUAAGAGGCUUUGGGGCGGGCCCCGCCCGCGGCUCCCGACGAGGCGCAGCUGCGCCCGGCCGGCCGCGGCCCCGCGGCACCUGGGAGUCGUUGCCUCCUUAGCGCAGCCGGCCUCGUUAGGGACGGCCCGGGGCUCUGACAGUUUGACGUGCGGACUCCGGAUCUGAAUUAGGGACUUAAAUUACACUUUGAAGUACAGUUUGUUACGCGCUUCUCCUUCUCGCCGCACUGUGGGAUUCAUCGAUAAGUUAAGUAAUUGUGCCAAUUCAAACGGGUCGCUUUGCAUCCGACGCGACCGGCGCGAUAGAGCGUCUCCCCUCCGAAGAACGUUCCCGGCCUUAACGGUUUCCAGGGGCCCCCGAUGGGUGCGUCUCCGCUCCGCUUUCCAUCGCCCCAAUUCCGAACAAAAGAAAAAGGAAAAAAAAAAUAAAUUAAUUAAUAAGAAAAAUAAGUCUUGUUGGAACAAACGUGCAGACCUUCACUGCUCAGGGGGACUACAAACCAAAGUAAAACUAGGGGCCGGCAAAAACAUGGUGCUCCACAGUCUUAAUUUAAUAAAACCUCCUGAAACAGUGUGAAAUUCAGAAGCCUGUGGUCGGGCUGAAGCGUGGUGUGCUGGCUGGCAGAUGUUUGGAAAGGUGCUAAGAUGUAACUCUUACUGUCCAUAGAAUUUGCUGUUAACCACUUGCAAGAUACAAAGUGACGGCCAGCUGGAUGAAUAGGAGAAUGUAUGUGAACACCCGGAACUGACAGACCCGGGACAGUGCAUGUGGCUUGAAGUGGGCACUGAGAGAAAGCUCAGACAAUGUAUAUACAUGCUUUUAACAUUCAAAUUAAUUUCCAUCGGGACACGACUUAAUUAAGCCCCAUUUGCCCAGUCUGCCCGCCUCUGUGAUCCCCCGCAGCACUGGCUGGAAGUCCGCCGCGUGUCAGUGAGGAGCUGCUGCAGAAGGAAGAAGAAGAAGCGGCGUGGGGACCUGGGAGGCAGGAGCAAGCAAGAAGAGGAAGCGGAAGCGUGCAGAUGCGGGGGGGAAGGAGAGAGGCUCCCUGGGCAAAGCACCUGUCCCGUUAGCAGGGGCACAGUCACGUUUGAGUUGAGAGCUGCCGGCGCCUUUGGUGACCAGGCUGGCGUUGUGCUGGGCGACCUCCCCGUAAGCGGGGCUCGGGUCUUUGCUGUAGUUGGCCUUUUGCCUUGCUGCUCCUUUGGCUGCCUGGGGAGCGUGGCCCCCUGUAACGGAGGGCGAGAGCCACCUCUCCGCACCUGAGUGGGAAAUGGAGCUCGCCGGACCCCAAGGCCACCCUGUAAGCAGGGUAGUGCCGUUUCCCUGCCCCUCUUCCUCCCCCGGCCCCUCGGCAUCGUUGCCUGAUGGUGGCUUGUCAAUGCGACGGCCCCGUACUCGGGGUGUGCGUCACGGCAUUUGGCCGUUGGCUUUAUCUGAGAAGCCCCUUGGCACGUUGAGGUCUGUGGCCUCCGUGCAGCCUAGGGACAGGUCACAGGCUCUUGUCUGUUGCCCGUGGUUGUGGGUUUAUUCCCAGGUGUUGGCUGUGCUGCGUUGUCCUUCCCUUCUGGAAAGUCGUGCCUGUGUGUGCGUGUUCCCCUUCCUUUCCUUGUUUGUGUUUGUGGAGUGGUUGAGCGGCUGUGCUUUCCCUUUAGGCCUCCACAAAGAUGGCUGCAGCUUAGCUUUGACUUCCCAGGGGGGAAUGGAGGACUUUGGUGCAUGCCGCAAAAGGGGUGUUCCCUCUUAGUCCUGCGAGCGCAGCGAGUGUCCUGUCUUCCUACUAUUUUCCUUAGUGCAGAUCAGAGCCACACGGUAGUUCUGUGGCCAAGGCCUCCCUGUAGCCAGGGCUUGGGCCUGUCCUUGCGUGGCCGCCUGUCCUGCUGGCGGCGGUGACAGCCCCGUACUCGGGGUGUGUGUCCCAAGCUUCGGAGCCCUCUGUCCCUGAGCAGCCCGCCCGCCCUGUAAUCAGGUGUGGGGAGGCUGCAGCGUUGCAGCCGGCUGCUUUAGCCAUCCAGCUGGUGGGAGUGACCCCUCCCUGUCCCGUCAGAGGGUGCAGGUUGAGGUGCUGUUUGUGUGUGGGGUGACCUCCCCGCUCGGUGGGUCGAGGUAGCUCCCUGGGCUUCCAAAGACGAGACGUUGGUGAUGUUCUGCUGCUGCCGGGCGGGCCAGCCUGUAACUCAGGCGUUGGCGGGAGCCUCGUGCUCUGCGGGGCUUCUUGAAGAGGGUGAGGUGUGGGGGUACCGUCCUGUAGGCAGGGCUGUGUGUGCCCCCCGUGUGUGCUUGGUGAGCUGCGUUCUGAGAGACCCCCUGUACUCAGGUGGGAAUGUGGCCCCGGCCUUUCAGAGGCGCGGGGCCGUGAGAUGCGGGGUGGGGCUUGCGCCCUCCCUGGAAUCGGGGCUGGGAUCCCGACUGCGGCCUUUGGCCGUGCCGCCCCGCUGCCUGGCUGCUGAGAGUUGCUCCUGCCGCUGGGGGGAAACCGAGCUCUGUGGCUCCAGGGGUGUUGUCCACCCGCCUGUAAUCAGGGUCUGGGUGCGUGAGCGUUUGUGCUCUGCUGGCAGCCUGUGUGGGGUGACCGCCCCGCUAGCGGGGUGUGGGUCGAGGUGCCCCGGACUGGGAGAGAAGGAGCCUCCCUCGGCCGUAGGGAUGGG